CUUGCAGUGAACUCUUUUGUUAUUUAUUUUUUCUGCAUUCCACAGAUGUGGCGAGUCUGACCUAUGUGAACAGUAUAUCAGUUAUCUCCACUCCUUCUGAGGGCCCCUGGCAGGAGACCAAGAAAGACUGGGCCCAGUCAGCUGACAAAAAGAGCACCUGGAGACCUGAUUUGGACACGAAUGGUGCUGAUUAUGACAUGCCCUGAUUCUAAUUGGAUGACGUCAAACAGAACAAACUGUGCAGCAGGAGUGUGAAAUGCAACUUGAGUUCCUGAUGAUCUCUCUGUCAUCAUCCAGCCAGAUGGCCCUUUGAAGAGGUUUGGCUUCUAAAGGGAGUUAAAUAAUCCAAUAGAAUUUGCAAAAUUAGUUUAACAAUACCUGUGAUCAGGACAGAAUCCCAAACAGACCUCUAUAUGAGGUUCUGAGGUAACAAUUUGAUAAAUGCAAAAAGAAAAGUUGCAAAGUACUUGAAAAAAUACUGACAGCCUACGAUGUGACCCAAUACCCUGUGCAAGGUUAGGUGGAAUGAUUCUGAUGCAUGCAACCAUAGCAACCCAUCACCAGUCCAGAUGUUCCCAUGUUUAUCAAGCUUGACUGAAGAAACAUUAUACAUUUAUAAUGUGGUUCACUUAGAACUCCACUUAGGAACAUGAGUUUGGUUUAAAACCUGAG
rnacentral:lncRNA from 1 species